UCCUUUUUUGUCAAUCAUCAGUCAAUUAACUAUUAAAAAUAACAUAAGGAAAAGCCUCUAUAGACAAGCCAGGCUGAACUAAAAUAACUCGUACAGCUUUAUUAGAAAUUAACUCAGAUGGCUGGCAAGUGCCUAUGAAAUCAGAACAUACACUUAAGCCUGAUGGAUCCACACUUUUUUUUUCAUGCAAGGCCACUCUAAGCAAGGUAAGACCCAACGCCAUGGGCCGAGAAACAGGUCUGAAAUUACUCUUUGUUUCAAUUAUCAAACUGACUGGUUAGAAGCCAGUCAGUAAGAGGUAACUCUCAGGAAAAAAAAAGACUUUAAUUUAUUUUGGAAUUAGUGAGUGCCUAUAAAUGUGCCUAAUUAUUCGGACACUCUAUGAACCUACUGCAGCGGUUCUUACUCACAAAGCUCUUUGUCAAGUCACGUAAAUGGUUCAGAAGAAUAAGCAAAAUAAAAGCAUGAAAAGGAAAAGCAAUUCAUUAUGCAACUUUGGUUUUGAUUCCUCAUGAGGACAGGAAAUACAUUAUGGAACCCUCUCAGCCACUUUCAUUUGUUUUCCUUUCCCGUUGGCUGAACGUUAACAGAUGGGCUGUCAAACCAAUUUGAUGUGGUUGUCCUAGUGAUGGGAAUAAUUAGAUGGGAUUUUAUUGAUGGCCUGACCUCGGAUGGAGGAGGUCUCUAGAGCAAAUUCAACAAUGUAUGAACCGCCCAGUCCUGCGGAAACCAGAGAAUCAGCCCAGCCUUUGUCCCGAGUCCUCCCGGACUGUCGGAAGACCGCUGACUGCAAAAGUAGGGACGUGGGUCUGGAUAUUCCUGAGCCAGAUCAACCUUAACGACCAGAUAAUCAUGGCAAAUAGGCAUGUAGAAUAUACUACAACUGAGCGACCCAGAGCAGAGAAGGAUUCUCCCGAUGGUUCUAUCACCAAGAAAUCAGCCACGAAGAAAAGUAAGAAAAGCAGCAGGCGGAUGAGCAUGAUUCCAGUAUCAGGACAUCGACUGCUGCAGAGUACAGAGAGCAGGACAAUGCAGACAGACGCCUCUGAAGGAAAUAAAGUAUUAGGUGCUAAAGGCGAUUUGUUCUCAGCGUAGACCGACACGUGAGCCCAGGCUGUCAUUCUCAAACCCAGUUAGUGAGACGGACCUGAACACAUACAUCCUCAGGGGACUAGAGUGGCCAGACGGGCCAGACGGAGGUGCGGCUUUGCUGUGUGGAAGCAAGGCUGCUGGGAGCACCGCCAGGUGAGCGGCCACAGGCUGAGGCGCACUCACACGCCAAAGCCCCUUCCCCACCAAGGAAACAGCAGAACUCCGUGAUGGAAACAAGAUAGAUGACCUCCCUGUGCUUUUCAUCUCAAGGACACCAAGAAGCGAUCUCUAAAGCGGGCUUUAAGUAGGCGGUAAGGAGCCCUGGUGGCACAUAUGGUUAAGUGCUCAGCUGCUAAUGGAAAGGUUGGCAGUUUGAACCCUUCCAGCGGCUCCACCAGGAGAAAGACUUGGUGAUCUGCUCCUGUAAAGAUUACAGCCAAGACAACUCUUGGGGCAGUUCUGCUCUGUCACGCUGGGUCGCUAAGCGUUGGAAUUGACUCCUUGGCACACGACAUGAACAAGAAGAAGCCGGUGGUGGGAAGGCCAGAAUUCUACUGGGAAAAGAUCCUGGUGGCUACAGGGGCACAUGGGUGGAGGAGAGGCAGGGCAGAUGGACGGGGUGAGAGGAGGCUUCUGUAAUAGAUCAGGUGGGAGAGGAUGAGCCCUGGGAGGUGGGUGAGGGCUGCAGAGAUGGGAGGAAUUGGGCAGGUUCGAGAAAAGCCUGGACUAAAACCUCCAAGGCUUGGUGAUGCAAAGAGGCGCUCUGAGGGUAGCUCCUUGGUCUGAGCAGCUGGUUGUGCCAGGGAUUCCCUGAGAUGGGGACUCAAGGAUGAAAUGCUUCCUACAGAAAGAUCAUUAACUCAGGCCUUUGAUGUAUUUAAGUGAGAACGUCAGAAACACAGUUCGGAGCUCUGAGGGGAUGGCUGUCACUGUUAGUUGCCAUGGAGUCUAUUUUUGAAUCAUAGUGACCCCGUGUGACAGAGCAGAACAGCCCUAUAUGGUUUUCUAGGCUGUAAACUUUAUAGAAGCAGAUUGCCAGGUCCUUCUACUAUGGAGCAGCUGGGUGGGUUCAGAUGGCCAACCUUUUGGUUAGCAGCCAAGCGCUUAACCAAGCGCUUAGCCACCAGGGCCCCUUAAACCAAAAACCAAACCCAGUGCCGUCGAGUCAAUUCCAACUCAUAGCAACCCUACAGGACAGAGUAGAACUACCCCAUAGAGUUUCCAAGGAGCGCCUGGGGGAUUUGAACUCCCGACCCUUUGGUUAGCAGCCGUAGCACUAAACCACUACACCACCAGGGUUUUUAUUUGGAGACCAUAAAUCAUGUUAUGGAUGGUAUAAACCUAGGGCACGAAUUAGAUUCUUCAUGAAUAAAACAGUGUAGAAGAGAGGAGGAACCUCGACACUGACAAGCCCAUGGAGGAGGCUGAGUCACAGAGAUAGAAGAAGCACCAGGACCGCAAUGCGGAGAGCCAACGGCAAGUGCUGUCUCAUGGAGGAGGUAGCCCUCAGGCAGGGUAGAGCUGUGAGAGGCCAGGUCGGAUGACAGAAGCUGCACUGGACUCGGUGUGGAGGUCACUAGUAAGAACCGUGUGCAGGUGGAAGCCAGCCUCGAGGAGGUAGAAGAGUGAAGAGGAAGUGAAAAAAUAGAAGUGGCCCUGAGGUGCCCAAUGUGAGAAGAAAUGUAAACUGGAGAUGAUGUUUGCAAACAGCAGCUUGUGGUCCGGACUUUGAUGUCUGAAAGCCAUCUGGAUGUCAACAAACGUUCCCCGUGCUGCGACUGCAUGGACAUGUCCCGCCCUGCACAUACAGUGUUGUUCCUGUUCUACCCGGGAGGGCCACAGGCGUUGGCACAGGCGGCCAUGCUGG